GACGAACCGUGCGAACGUUAUUCGGAAUCACUGGGCUUAAAGCGCGUGUGGGCGGGCAGGCACGUCGGUCGCUGAAAUCCCCCGGCUCAACCGGGGAAGUGGCGCCGAUACGACCUUCCUGGAGGGACGUAGGGGGACCUGGAACUUCCGGUGGAGCGGUGAAAUGCGUUGAGAUCGGAAGGAACGCCCGUGGCGAAAGCGAGGUCCUGGACGUUUUCUGACGCUGAGACGCGAAAGCCAGGGGAGCAAACGGG
rnacentral:rRNA from 1 species